rnacentral:rRNA from 1 species
UACGUAGGGGGCAAGCGUUAUCCGGAAUUACUGGGCGUAAAGCGUGCGCAGGCGGUUCGGAAAGAGAGGUGUGAAAUCCCAGGGCUUAACCUUGGAACUGCACUUUUAACUACCGGGCUAGAGUACGGCAGAGGGGGGUGGAAUUCCGCGUGUAGCAGUGAAAUGCGUAGAGAUGCGGAGGAACACCGAUGGCGAAGGCAGCCCCCUGGGCUGACACUGACGCUCAGGCACGAAAGCGUGGGGAGCAAACAGG